rnacentral:rRNA from 1 species
UACGUAGGGAGCAAGCGUUGUUCGGAUUUACUGGGCGUAAAGGGCGCGUAGGCGGCAUAUUAAGUCAUCUGUGAAAUCUCCGAGCUUAACUCGGAACUGUCAGCUGAUACUGAUGUGCUAGAGUGCGGAAGGGGCAAUCGGAAUUCUUGGUGUAGCGGUGAAAUGCGUAGAUAUCAAGAGGAACACCUGAGGUGAAGACGGGUUGCUGGGCCGACACUGACGCUGAGGCACGAAGGUCAGGGGAGCAAACGGG